rnacentral:rRNA from 1 species
UGGGGGAUAUUGCACAAUGGGCGCAAGCCUGAUGCAGCGACGCCGCGUGGGGGAUGAAGGCCUUCGGGUUGUAAACUUCUUUUGCUCUGAACAAGGCGCACUUUGGGGUGUGUUGAGUGUAGGGGUUGAUUAGCGCCGGCUAACUACGUGCCAGCAGCCGCGGUAAUACGUAGGGCGCGAGCGUUGUCCGGAAUUAUUGGGCGUAAAGGGCUUGUAGGUGGCUGGUUGCGUCUGUCGUGAAAGCUCAUGGCUUAACUGUGGGUUUGCGGUGGGGACGGGCUGGCUUGAGUGCAGUAGGGGAGGCUGGAAUUCCUGGUGUAGCGGUGGAAUGCGCAGAUAUCAGGAGGAAUACCGGUGGCGAAGGCGGGUCUCUGGGCUGUUACUGACACUGAGGAGCGAAAGCAUGGGGAGCGAACAGG